GGUUUGGAAUUACAUGGUUUGAGAAUUUCUUGCACAGAACAUCUGCAGUUUUGGAAAGGAGGACUCGAGCCGGGAUGACAGCCUCUGAGAUCGCUCUGAGGGACUGCUCCAAAGAGUUGGUUUUGGACCAAGAGGACCACCUGAAGAGAUCGGAGGAAAGAAGGAGCAGGG